rnacentral:rRNA from 1 species
UACGGGGGGAGCAAGCGUUGUUCGGAUUUACUGGGCGUAAAGGGCGCGUAGGCGGCGCAACAAGUCACUUGUGAAAUCUCCGGGCUUAACCCGGAGCGGCCAAGUGAUACUGUCGUGCUAGAGUGCGGAAGGGGCUACUGGAAUUCUCGGUGUAGCGGUGAAAUGCGUAGAUAUCGAGAGGAACACCUGCGGCGAAGGCGGGUAGCUGGGCCGACAUUGACGCUGAGGAGCGAAAGCGUGGGGAGCGAACAGG